UCUAAUACCUGCAAUAACAAUCUUAAUAUCAUAUUAUAUGUACCUGUCUGCAAAGAAAAUAAGGCUAUUGGUUGAACUAUCAGAAAAGAUGGAAGUCAUUAGCAAAGAAUAUAUAAGUGUAGCUGAUUGUUUUGAUCGAACAAAAGCUUUGCACAGUUUGUUGAUAAUCUUGGAUCUUUUGCUGUAUGUCCCAAAAUUUAUGUUGGUGAUAUACUAUUAUGUGAUAUAUUUCAAAACUUACGCCCUGACUCCACUCUCGCUAAUUUCCCAGAUAUUAUUUGCGAUUCAUACAGUAAUACAAGUUAUAGUUCCUUCAGUUUUUGCACAAAGACUAGACAGUGAGAUUGGAACAAUU